GUGAACAACAGCAUGUUCGCAGCCUCGUAGGUAUCGAACAAGAACAACAGCGCCUCCACCCUCACCCUCCUCCCUCCGGCUGUCCUCCGCCCUCCAGCGACCACCUCGCCGUCCUCCCUGCAAUGGAAGGAACCAAGCAGAAGGUUUGUAAUAUUUAGCGAAACUGCAAUGGAAGGAACCAAGCAGAAGGUUGUGUGAUCGAUUCGGGUGGCGAAAAGCCGAGGAAUUUGGGGUAAAUCAGGGAAAAUUGGAAAGGGUCAGAUGGCUAAACCUAGGGUUCUUGCAAUCACCAGUCGUUAGAUGUCUUGGAUUGGAACUUGCUAUCUGGAGUAGCUGGAGUAGUUAUGGGUCGACUUGAAGGAUUCAUGUAAUUGAACUAUUGAUAUCAUUCAUUGGUUUUUGAAACAGUUUAACAUUGGUUUACUAUUUGCUUCCACUGGACAUGUUGGUUUUCAUUUAAACUCGUUGAUGGUAUUUUACAUUAAUAAUUAAGGAUUUAUUUU
rnacentral:lncRNA from 1 species